ACGGGAUCCUCUUGUGUGUGCAGUGACCGUCUGGAAGAGCUCAGGCUAUUCUGCAAGAUGUCCUGAAACGCUGACAAUGUGUGACC
rnacentral:lncRNA from 1 species